UGGGGAAUUUUGGACAAUGGGGGCAACCCUGAUCCAGCAAUGCCGCGUGUGUGAAGAAGGCCUUCGGGUUGUAAAGCACUUUUGUCCGGGAAGAAAUCGCACCUGAUAAUACCGGGUGUGGAUGACGGUACCGGAAGAAUAAGGACCGGCUAACUACGUGCCAGCAGCCGCGGUAAUACGUAGGGUCCAAGCGUUAAUCGGAAUUACUGGGCGUAAAGCGUGCGCAGGCGGUUGUGCAAGACCGAUGUGAAAUCCCCGGGCUUAACCUGGGAAUUGCAUUGGUGACUGCACGGCUAGAGUGUGUAAGAGGGGGGUAGAAUUCCACGUGUAGCAGUGAAAUGCGUAGAGAUGUGGAGGAAUACCGAUGGCGAAGGCAGCCCCCUGGGAUAACACUGACGCGCAUGCACGAAAGCGUGGGGAGCAAACAGG
rnacentral:rRNA from 1 species